AAGAGGUGCAAACUUCUAGUAAUAAAAUAACUUCUCUCAGGUAGAAUCUGAAGUCAUUUAUUGAAGACUUUUCAUCUUGUUCUUUGUUGGUGGUGAGUGCUAGACAUCUCCUGCUUCAUCAUCAUCAUCAUCGUCAUCAUCGUCAUCAUCAUCAUCGUCAUCGUCAUCCUCCAAUGAAAUCAGCUACAAAUGUUUUUAAUUAUUGGAAUCAUCAGUAUUACUACCGUUUAUGGAGGAACUGCUAUGAAGCCUGUUCUCUGCUAAAAUGUUUGCUAACAUUUUAUAUUUACAACUCUUUAAGGUAAAUCCUACACUGAAAGAAAGAAAAUAUCAACCCAAAGUCUUUAAUCAAGCAUGUAUUAAGAGUGCUAAAAUGUGGGGAGUAGCUUAAGAUGAGUGUUCUGCGGGAAGCA